AACGCACCUUGCGCCUUUUGGUAUUCCGAAAGGCACACCUGUUUGAGCGUCAUGAACACCUCAAUCCCCAUCUUUUCUUCGGAUCGAUGGGUGGCUUGGAUGUUGAGCCCUGCUGGUAUGCUAUAUCAGCUGGCUUUAAACUUAUUAGCCGGCUUUGUACUGGAUCGGUUUGACUCGACGUGAUAAUAUUAUCGUUGAGGAUGCAUGUCUCAUGCAGCCGGAAAGUAUCAAAGCAGCUUCUAGCUCGCCUUUAGCGCACUUUUACAUUUUAGACCUCAGAUCAGGUGGGACUACCCGCUGAACUUAA
rnacentral:misc_RNA from 1 species